UUAUAUGAGAGUUUGAUCCUGGCUCAGGAUGAACGCCGGCGGUGUGCCUAAUACAUGCAAGUC
rnacentral:rRNA from 1 species